rnacentral:sRNA from 1 species
AUACUUUUUGAUUUUGUUUAUAUUAUUCAGUCAUUAGAAAAGUUAAUUACUAGACAGUAGCUUUUCAAAAAGAAAAAAUUAGAUUACUGGGGUUUUUUUCUGUUUAUUUUUUCAGAUAAAAAGUAAGGACAUAGUUAAGGGAGAAGAAGCUACCCACAGGGCAGAAAAAGCAUCAUGUGAAAGGAAGAACUACCAUUUUCCCAGUGCACGAAUGAAAUGACUCUUUGUCUCUCAUUUCCAGUCUGGUUGCAAUCCCAGUGUAUGUCAAACAUAACAUCAGUUUCCGGGACAGUAGUUCCCUUGGACGCUUUGAAAUAACAGUGGGACCCAAGCAGACGAUGGGGAAGACCAUCGAGGGAGUGACUGUCACCAGCCAGAUGCCCAAGGGGGUCCUGAACAUGAGCCUUACUCCAUCACAGGGGACACACACAUUCGACCCAGUCACAAAGAUGCUGUCUUGGGAUGUAGGAAAAAUAAAUCCACAAAAGCUACCAAGUUUGAAGGGGACCAUGAGUCUUCAGGCUGGAGCUUCCAAACCA